AGCGAACGCUGGCGGCAGGCCUAACACAUGCAAGUCGAACGAACCUUUCGGGGUUAGUGGCGGACGGGUGAGUAACACGUGGGAACGUGCCUUUAGGUUCGGAAUAACUCAGGGAAACUUGUGCUAAUACCGAAUGUGCCCUUCGGGGGAAAGAUUAAUCGCCUUUAGAGCGGCCCGCGUCUGAUUUGCUAGUUGGUUGAGGUAAUGGCUCACCAAGGCGACGAUCAGUAGCUGGUCUGAGAGGAUGAUCAGCCACAUUGGGACUGAGACACGGCCCAAACUCCUACGGGAAGCAGCAGUGGGGAAUCUUGCGCAAUGGGCGAAAGCCUGACGCAGCCAUGCCGCGUGAAUGAUGAAGGUCUUAGGAUUGUAAAAUUCUUUCACCGGGGACGAUAAUGACGGUACCCGGAGAAGAAGCCCCGGCUAACUUCGUG
rnacentral:rRNA from 1 species